rnacentral:rRNA from 1 species
GAUUAACGCUGGCGGCAUGCCUAAUACAUGCAAGUCGAACGGAAGCAGCAAUGCUUUAGUGGCGAACGGGUGAGUAACACGUAGGGAACCUACCUAUACGACGAGGAUAACUACUGGAAACGGUAGCUAAAACUGGAUAGGAUCAAUUGAGGCAUCUUGAUUGAUUUAAAGAUCCUUCGGGAUUACGUAGAGAUGGCCCUGCGGCGCAUUAGCUAGUUGGUGAGGUAACGGCCCACCAAGGCGACGAUGCGUAGCUGAGCUGAGAGGCUAAACAGCCACACUGGGACUGAGACACGGCCCAGACUCCUACGGGAGGCAGCAGUAGGGAAUUUUCGGCAAUGGGGGAAACCCUGACCGAGCAAUGCCGCGUGAACGAUGAAGGUCUUCGGAUUGUAAAGUUCUGUGAUUGGGGAAGAAUGGUAUUCUUAGGGAAUGAGGAGUACAUGACGGUACCCGAUUAGAAAGCCCCGGCUAACUAUGUGCCAGCAGCC